AAGAACUGUAGUCUGUGCAGUUGCUUCACCUCUGAGAGAACUAAAUCUGAUUGCUUGGGACAAGUUUCUGCCUUGCUGCACUAAGCUAAACAUAGCAGGAUUAAGGUGAUCUGCCUGGUGAAGAUGGAAUCUCAGUCAGACAGAAAGCAGAAAGGACUGGAAAAAAGUACUGCAAAGAAGGAAAAGAAGCUGGUAAGCUCCCCCUCGUCUGAUUCAGCCAUCAUUCCUUCUGACCCCCAGAACAUUUUCUGCACGGCUGCCAAGAGGGAGCAGGACCUGGGAAGUCUCCUGAUGCAGCUGCCCACCUCCCGAGGUCAGG